rnacentral:rRNA from 1 species
AGAGUUUUGAUCCUGGCUCAGGAUGAACGCUGGCGGCGUGCCUAAUACAUGCAAGUCGAGCGAACAGAUAAGGAGCUUGCUCCUUUGAAGUUAGCGGCGGACGGGUGAGUAACACGUGGGUAACCUACCUAUAAGACUGGAAUAACUUCGGGAAACCGGAGCUAAUGCCGGAUAACAUUUGGAACCGCAUGGUUCUAAAGUAAAAGAUGGUUUUGCUAUCACUUAUAGAUGGACCCGCGCCGUAUUAGCUAGUUGGUAAGGUAACGGCUUACCAAGGCAACGAUACGUAGCCGACCUGAGAGGGUGAUCGGCCACACUGGAACUGAGACACGGUCCAGACUCCUACGGGAGGCAGCAGUAGGGAAUCUUCCGCAAUGGACGAAAGUCUGACGGAGCAACGCCGCGUGAGUGAUGAAGGUUUUCGGAUCGUAAAACUCUGUUAUUAGGGAAGAACAAAUGUGUAAGUAACUGUGCACAUCUUGACGGUACCUAAUCAGAAAGCCACGGCUAACUNAC